UCUUAUCUAUGUCUGCAUUGAUUGUUACUUGCGCACCCAAAACAGUUAUAGCCAGUAAAUUUAAACAAAUUGUACUGAUUUCGUUGACAUUGAAGGUUUAUUUUACUUGAUUUUAGCUUGCCAGCUAAACAUUUCGGCUAAAAAUUGCACUGGAAAGCACUCUCCUUAAGUCGACUGUAGUUCGGUGCACGUUGUUUUGUAAAGUUCUCUGUGUCGCACUUGUAAACAUUAGGUUUUUGGUUGUAAAGAUCGCUAUUUUGCAAGGUUGUGCAUUAGCCUGGUCGAUUGGCUAACCGAAACGGAAUUCAUCCUGAUCCCCUCUUUCGGGUUACGGUUUGUCACAUAGAUUUCCAAGUGUUAAAUGCUUGGAGAAAUAAAUAAGAUUUAAAGUUGUUGCCCUGCCCCUCUUUCAGGCAGCGAGCUCAUGACCACAUACUGAGUGAAACAAUGCCCUCAAUUCUUUUUAAAUUUUUCCUCCAGUUAAUUUAAAUCACGUAAAUCUUUCCGAUAUUGUUUAACUUAAGACUUCAACUAAAUAAUGGUUACUAAUUACGAUAAAAUGCACUUUUAAAAUAAGAGAAAUAAUCAUAAAAUAAUAAAUAAAAAAGUGGGGGGUCACGUGGAGGAGAGAAAGUAAAUUAAAGAUAAAGAACAAGACUCGUGCAGGAUAAUGAUAUCAGGAUAAUGAUAAUAAUAAGCAGCGUCUGACAGUAAGUGAUAGAAUGUGUAAAACUAAAAGUACACCAGCCAAUAGAAAUAGAGUUUGAUGGUAAAAGGAUUUAACUAAAGGUCCUGUGUUUGUUAUAAAUGUCAUAAAGUGGAUGAAUUAAUAACAUAGAAAUAAAUAUUUAUGUCAUUUCAGAUUUGCAGCUGGAAGGUGAUCAAGACUGGAAUUUCAUAUUUUGAAAGGACAGGCAGCUGAAACAGUGAUAGGGUAGUUCUGUUAAUUAAGGACAACAUUAGUUCAGAAGGUCAAAAUGUACAAAUUAGUUCACAUAGAUAUAGUAAGAGGUGAGAACCUGAAGGAUCAUGACUGAACAACAUUCAAACUCCUGGAACCAUAGGCACAAACAGAAUUCAGAGAACAUGCAACUGAACAGGCAGAUUCUUGAACUGAUCUUUGGGCACAAGGGAACAAAGGAGCUGAUGAGUGCAGCCUUGAGGAGCCAUAUGGUCUCCUUCAACUAUAUUAUGAGAACGGAUGAUCAACGGAGGAUUUACAACCAAAGUAGACAGGAAACCCACCCACACCAAACAGAGCCUCAAUUACAAUAGCAACCACCUCAACGUCCACAACUGGAGCUGUGUCAAGACCCUAUUCAAAAGAGUCGUGACACACUGCAACACAAUUGUGCAAAGAGGAGGAACACUAACAAUGGAUACUUGAUCAGCUUUGUUCGCUGAUGCCCGUCCAAGAGACAAUACCAAGAAGACAAUGUACCUACCAACACACUGACUACCUUACGCUAUGUGAAGAACAUAUCAGAAUUAACUACUAGGCUGUUACGACCACUAGGUAUUAUGGUGGAACACCAACCUACAGCCACACUAUGCCAGCUAUGUACCAAGCUUAAGGACCCCAUAACUACAGCAUGCAGGACGAACAAAGUAUACAAAAUCCCUUGCAACAACUACUAUAUCAGACAAACAGGUAGAAACCUAGUCAUCCGCCUUCACAGACACCAACUGGCUACUAAACGACAUGAUCCACUCUCCCUCCAUUCUGUGUACACAGACCAAGAGGGCCAUCAAUUCAACUAUGACAAAGUUACUAUCCUAGGACAGGCUAACAAGACAUGUGCAAAAUAAUUCUUGGAAGUCUGGUUUUCAACCAAAAAGGCCAUCAACAAACACAGAGAUAGAUCCAGUGUACAAACUGCUGCAGAGAAGACCCAGAAGUGAUACUCAUCUCAACAGACUGAACCAGAUAAAAACCAAGGGGGACGGAACAACAGCGCUUCAUGGAAGUCGCACUGAUAAUGUUACCUAGUAUGGAGCAAACCAACUACCUCAUCCACAAUCAGAGCUACACAUCUUUGUUAAAACCUAAAGGGUUUGCUUCAGUUAAGCUAAUGGCUGCUUUGGAAAGGCAGUUAAUUAGCCUCGUAACUCACCACUCUUGCCCCAAACCACAACUAAACCACCUUGGACCACUUGCACCCCCUGAUCCCCCGUCAACGAUACAGUCUCUAGUCUGAAUCUCACUCCAUGCUCCAUGCCUGAAGCAAUAAAUCCCUUUCCUGCAGCCGACAUCCUACCCUACCAGCAAACCUGAAAGGGCCAUCUUCCCUGCCACGAGACUCAACACAGCUCCUCUCCCUCCUGCCUGAUCAGACUCAACACACUCUUCUUCUCACUGGACUCAAUCACCCUUUCCAUCCCUCCCAGGAAUCUUCUAUUCCCUCUUGGAAUCUUGGCUCCCUGACAACCUGUCACACCGUAAUCCCUUUCACAGGAGCUAACAAAGUGACUGUCUGUGCUGCUAAACAUUUAAAUAAUAGAAUGCAGUGUGAAGAAGAAGAAAUGGUUUGCUUUAUCCCCAACUACCCUGCACUACAAGGAAACUGUGGAUUUCAGGUAAGUUCUACAUUUCUAAAGGAACCAGAAUCAGACUGUUGGGCAGAAAUAAAGCUUACUCCUUGACACUCCGUGGAAUAUCUGGGUCAACUUAACAAAUGGAA